rnacentral:rRNA from 1 species
AUUGAACGCUGGCGGCAGGCCUAACACAUGCAAGUCGAACGGUAGCACAGAGGAGCUUGCUCCUUGGGUGACGAGUGGCGGACGGGUGAGUAAUGUCUGGGAAGCUGCCCGAUGGAGGGGGAUAACUACUGGAAACGGUAGCUAAUACCGCAUAACGUCGCAAGACCAAAGAGGGGGACCUUCGGGCCUCUUGCCAUCGGAUGUGCCCAGAUGGGAUUAGCUAGUAGGUGGGGUAACGGCUCACCUAGGCGACGAUCCCUAGCUGGUCUGAGAGGAUGACCAGCCACACUGGAACUGAGACACGGUCCAGACUCCUACGGGAGGCAGCAGUGGGGAAUAUUGCACAAUGGGCGCAAGCCUGAUGCAGCCAUGCCGCGUGUAUGAAGAAGGCCUUCGGGUUGUAAAGUACUUUCAGCGAGGAGGAAGGCGUUGUGGUUAAUAACCGCAACGAUUGACGUUACUCGCAGAAGAAGCACCGGCUAACUCCGUGCCAGCAGCCG